AAACUUACCUAGCAGGAGAGACACCAUGGUUACGAAGGUAAUUUUCCCAGAGCAAGUCUUAUCAAUUGCAUUCCAGAUGUGCUGAUCCCUGCAAUUUCCCCAAAUGUGGGAGACUCAAGUGCAUAUAUGUGGUAGUGGAGGACUGUGUUCAUACUCUCCCCUG
ensembl:snRNA U1 U1 spliceosomal RNA